UGCUCACAUCGCUUCCCGCUUUCUGGGUACAAUGGGCACACAAAUCGGAAAUCUCGACUUUACAAAGUAUCGCAUUUACAGGUAGUGAAGUUGGAAAUGCUUUAGUCUUUCCACUGUCCGGGUUCCUGUGCAGAUCUGGCAUUGACGGUGGAUGGGCUUCGGUGUUUUAUGUCACAGGUAGUCUCGGGGUAGCAUGGUCUUUAUCAUGGAUGAUUCUGUCACGUGAUAAACCAUGCGAUCAACCAUGGAUAUCAGAGGAUGAAAAAACCUACAUAGAACAAAAUACCAAAUCACGGAUACGGAAAGAAAAGAAGAUACCAUGGGGGGAUAUGCUGAGGUCGAGGGCGGCGUGGACGUUAAUCUGCACCCACACAUUGUACAACUACGCCUACUACAUGCUACAGCUUCAACUUCCAACUUACCUCAAUGAAGUCAUGCAUAUGGACAUUCAAUCGGUAAGACUGAACUUGCAUAUUACAGAUUUUAAUCAGGAUAAAAAUCUAACUACCCUUUUUUCCAAAGAAUGGA